rnacentral:rRNA from 1 species
AUUGAACGCUGGCGGCAUGCUUUACACAUGCAAGUCGAACGGCAGCACGGGUGCUUGCACCUGGUGGCGAGUGGCGAACGGGUGAGUAAUGCAUCGGAACGUGCCUAUUAGUGGGGGAUAACGCUUCGAAAGGAGUGCUAAUACCGCAUAAUCUCUGAGGAGGAAAGCAGGGGACCUUCGGGCCUUGCGCUGAUAGAGCGGCCGAUGUCGGAUUAGCUAGUUGGUGAGGUAAAGGCUCACCAAGGCGACGAUCCGUAGCGGGUCUGAGAGGAUGAUCCGCCACACUGGGACUGAGACACGGCCCAGACUCCUACGGGAGGCAGCAGUGGGGAAUUUUGGACAAUGGGCGCAAGCCUGAUCCAGCCAUGCCGCGUGAGUGAAGAAGGCCUUCGGGUUGUAAAGCUCUUUUGUUCCGGGUAGCAAGUCCUACUGGCUAAUAUCUGGUGGGGAGUGAGAGUACUGGAAGAAUAAGCACCGGCUAA